rnacentral:rRNA from 1 species
GUUAUUAAUAAUUAAUAAUGGGACCUGGUCAGUGGUUAAAAACAAAAAAUAUAAGAAUUUUAAUUUUUAAUUAAACACACGCCUUAUAUUGAGGGUGAUAAAGUAGCAUAACCCUUUGACACUUAAUUGGUGCCUUGUAUGAAUGGUGAAACAAUUUAAACAUUGUCUCAGUAUUAAAAUUAAUGAAAUUUAAAUAUAAAUGAAUAUUUUUUAUAAAAAUUCGUUAGACGAUAAGUCCCCAUAAAUCUUUACUAAAAAUUGAAGUUUAUUCAAUUUGAUAGUUUGAUUGGGGGGAUCUUUUUUUUUUAAAUAACAAAAAAAUUUUAAAAUAAAUUAUAUAUUAAAUUUAAUUAUAAUAAGAUUUCUAUAUUUAAAAAGUAAAUUUAGACAAUAAAUAAUAAGACCAUUUUUUAUAUUCAAUAAAUUAAAAUUUAUAAUUGAUAAAAGAUACUUUGGGGAUAACAGCGACAUUUUCCACAUUAUUAGAAGAUAUAAUGGUGGGUAGAUUUUAUUCGGCCUCGAUGUUGAAUUAGAAUAUCCUUUUGGUGUAGGGGCCAAAGAGGGUUGGAUUGUUCGACCAUUAAUAUUCU